CAGAUUUACACCCUCCUCUUGCAGAUACUGCCGAUGGUGAAGCUUGGGUGCACCGGGCCGGUUUUCCAGCCGUGUGGAAUCAACAUCUCCAGCUGAACUGGGGCCGGGAAUUAUAUAAGACUCCUUAGCAGCAUGAGUGCCAGCCAGUCAUUGCUGUUCUUUGCAUUGCUGAGGAGGACAGUCCUGCCAACAUAACAGUUUGUUCAAUAACAGGAGACAAACAGAAACACAGAGGUGCUAUACAUUCCGAUGGAAAAGACAACAAAAGCAUCUUCCAUCAUUUUGGCGUGGCUCAGAUCAAGAGGAGAAUUUUAAGAAAGGUGAUAGUUGGGCACACACAAGAAGACAUAGAUCACAGGUGUCCAGGCAUAUGAGUAGACAGGAGUUUCACACUCUGCUAAACUUACUUCAUCAGAGGAGCAGAAAGCUUCUCAAGAUCCCGCACUGCACACUAAGAAAUAGUCUUUGACUACAACAAAGGGAUGAAAGUACAGAGAGGUCCAAUUGAAAUCAAUUCUGUGCUGCGUCAUUUCUUCAUUCUGGAAGUUGAUGGACAUGAUUUAUCAUGGCAUCAGGUGUGCAGUUUGUCGACUAUCAGCAGUCUUGUUCACCAGUUGUGCAACUUGAGCUGGUAGCUUUAUUGCUUGAAGCCACUGCAUAAGAGGGGGAAGGUGCAGGCUCAUCAAAAAGUCUCAAAAGUUGAAACUAGGAAAAGAAAUUUGUCAAGAGUGUGAAUCUAUUUGCUUUGAAAACAAUCGUUACAAUGAUUUGGUUUCCUUUGAAACUUGAUACAUACUAUGUGUAUGUUGAAUGAAUUGAGAUGCUGAAAUAAAGAACCACUAUUCAAAUAUCAGGAAACUGCAUUUUUCAUACUAAAGGGUAAAUGAUGUUGCCAUUUCCUGUAUGUAUUUAAAUAAGAUAUGUUUCCACAAUUAAUAUUUUUAGGGAAUUUUUCUCAACCUAAUGAAUGAGAUUAAAUUGUUCAACGUUAUAUGAGCUUAAUAUGUGUUUUCUGUUUCUUUAAAAUUUGUGAAAAAUUGUCAGAAGAUAAUUAGACCAGUAUCCAUUACUGCAAUUUUUCAAUCAAAUAUACAGGGACAAGCCCACUGGGAAUAUAAUAUAAUUAAAUCCUGUUUAGGGGCAUGAGGCAAACAGAGUUACUUUCAAACGUUAAAGCUGCACUCUCACAUUUUGGACGUUUUGACAACUUCUCUCAUUUUAUGUCU